rnacentral:rRNA from 1 species
AUUGAACGCUGGCGGCAUGCUUUACACAUGCAAGUCGAACGGUAACAGGCCGCAAGGUGCUGACGAGUGGCGAACGGGUGAGUAAUGCAUCGGAACGUGCCCAGUCGUGGGGGAUAACUACUCGAAAGAGUAGCUAAUACCUCAUACGAUCUAUGGAUGAAAGCGGGGGACCGUAAGGCCUCGCGCGAUUUGAGCUGCCGAUGUCAGAUUAGGUAGUUGGUGGGGUAAAGGCUCACCAAGCCAACGAUCUGUAGCUGGUCUGAGAGGACGACCAGCCACACUGGGACUGAGACACGGCCCAGACUCCUACGGGAGGCAGCAGUGGGGAAUUUUGGACAAUGGGCGCAAGCCUGAUCCAGCAAUGCCGCGUGCAGGAAGAAGGCCUUCGGGUUGUAAACUGCUUUUGUACGGAACGAAACGGCUCUGGUUAAUACCCGGGGCUAAUGACGGUACCGUAAGAAUAAGCACCGGCUAACUACGUG